AAUCAAGAACGCGCAGGUGUGCAGGCUCUACGUUCUUCAGGUGUGAGUGUUGGUUCUCAAGCUGCUGCUUUCUUUCAUCGAAAUGGAAAACCUGGAUUCCGCAUGGGAUGAAGAAGAAGAGGGCUGCCUCCCUAUCCCUCCACUUGAUGAUGGGGCUUUCUCUCCUUAUCAUCCCACCACAUUGGCUCUCUGUCAGUUCUUCGAUGAAAUUGAUGAGAAUGGAAAUGUUCGAGACAAC